UGACCGCUGGCGGCGUGCCUAAUACAUGCAAGUCGAGCGAACGGACGAGAAGCUUGCUUCUCUGAUGUUAGCGGCGGACGGGUGAGUAACACGUGGAUAACCUACCUAUAAGACUGGGAUAACUUCGGGAAACCGGAGCUAAUACCGGAUAAUAUUUUGAACCGCAUGGUUCAAAAGUGAAAGACGGCCUUGCUGUCACUUAUAGAUGGAUCCGCGCUGCAUUAGCUAGUUGGUAAGGUAACGGCUUACCAAGGCAACGAUGCAUAGCCGACCUGAGAGGGUGAUCGGCCACACUGGAACUGAGACACGGUCCAGACUCCUACGGGAGGCAGCAGUAGGGAAUCUUCCGCAAUGGGCGAAAGCCUGACGGAGCAACGCCGCGUGAGUGAUGAAGGUCUUCGGAUCGUAAAACUCUGUUAUUAGGGAAGAACAUAUGUGUAAGUAACUGUGCACAUCUUGACGGUACCUAAUCAGAAAGCCACGGCUAACUACGUG
rnacentral:rRNA from 1 species